GCGGAAGAUCAUUACCAUAAUGUCGGGGGUAACUUCACUGUUGCCCUGUCUGAACCCUUGUCUUUUGCGUACUAUUUGUUUCCUCGGUGGGCUUGCCUGCCGAUAGGACAACCAUUAAACCUUUUGUAAUUGCAAUCAGCGUCAGAAAAAACAUAAUAGUUACAACUUUCAACAACGGAUCUCUUGGUUCUGGCAUCGAUGAAGAACGCAGCGAAAUGCGAAAAGUAGUGUGAAUUGCAGAAUUCAGUGAAUCAUCGAAUCUUUGAACGCACAUUGCGCCCCUUGGUAUUCCAUGGGGCAUGCCUGUUCGAGCGUCAUUUGUACCUUCAAGCCCUGCUUGGUGUUGGGUGUUUGUCCCGCUUUGUGCGUGGACUCGCCUCAAAGCAAUUGGCAGCCGGCGUACUAGCCUGGGAGCGCAGCACAUUUUGCGCAUCUUGUCUUGAACGCUUGCGUCCAUGAAGCCUACAUUUUAACUCUUGACCUCGGAUCAGGUAGGGAUACCCGCUGAACUUAAGCAUAUCAAUAAGCGGAGGAAAAGAAACCAACAGGGAUUGCCCUAGUAACGGCGAGUGAAGCGGCAUCAGCUCAAAUUUGAAAUCUGGCUCUUUCAUGGUC
rnacentral:misc_RNA from 1 species